CAAACGGCCCUUUUCAGGGCCACCAACAAAUACAACGAGAGCACC
rfam:Lasius niger Lnig_2.1_9404, whole genome shotgun sequence.